rnacentral:rRNA from 1 species
GACGAACGCUGGCGGCGUGCUUAACACAUGCCAGUCGAACGGAAAGGCCCUGCUUGCAGGGUACUCGAGUGGCGAACGGGUGAGUAACACGUGGGUGAUCUGCCCUGCACUUCGGGAUAAGCCUGGGAAACUGGGUCUAAUACCGGAUAGGAGCCAUUUUUAGUGUGAUGGUUGGAAAGUUUUUUCGGUGUAGGAUGAGCUCGCGGCCUAUCAGCUUGUUGGUGGGGUAAUGGCCUACCAAGGCGGCGACGGGUAGCCGGCCUGAGAGGGUGGACGGCCACACUGGGACUGAGAGACGGCCCAGACUCCUACGGGAGGCAGCAGUGGGGAAUAUUGAACAAUGGGCGCAAGCCUGAUGCAGCGACGCCGCGUGGGGGAUGACGGCCUUAGGGUUGUAAACUCCUUUCGCUAGGGACGAAGCUUUUUGUGACGGUACCUAGAUAAGAAGCACCGGCUAACUACGUG